GCUGAUCUGAAUAAGAAAAAAAAAACAAAAGCAAGAGAAAAAAAAGGAUGGUUUAUUAUUUUUUACGCUGUUAUGUUUGUUUCCUCAGUAUUUGCUGCAGCUCUGCUUACCCAAGCUUUGGGUUCCUUCUGUCCCACUGGGAGUUGCCCAAUUUGGUUGCAUCUGGUGAAAUUCACCCUGAGACCUUACAGAACCAGCUCCAACUACGUGAGAGCCAUUUGCAGUUCUCUCCAGACGCCUGGAGAAUGGGCGACGUUUCUGAGGAUCCGGCGAGCGUGCUUCUGUCAAAACUCAGUCUGUGAAAUUCCUGGGGAAAACCCUUCUGUGUCCUGAAGGGUUCAAACUCUGGUGAGGAUCCAGUUAUCAGGUGCUCACCUGGAUGGUUCCAGCUCCCAAAGGGAAAGACUCUCGUGUCCUUGUCGUCGGGCUCGGUGCUGUCCAAGAAGAUACGGGGACUAAAAAAAUCAUAAGAAGCAAAAUAGGACUGCAGGGAAAAGAAGCUGGAGAGAACAGAAGACUCAUCACGGCGGGACAGCGUGAAGACUGAAAGUGUAAGAAGAUGUGGAGGGAAAGAGAGAAUCUGACAGGAGCAUCGGACGCACGAGUGCACGAAUUUUGCUUUUUUGCUUGGAUGUAAACUCAGGCGUUGAAAGGAAUUUGGGAGUGAGAAGGGACAUUUCAGAAGGAGAAGAAGCAAAAGAAGUUGUUGUUACAGUCCUGGCAAAAUCUUUUGUUCUAGCUAAUAAAAGAAGUUAGUUUAAAAAACAAAAAGGAAAAAA